rnacentral:pre_miRNA from 1 species
ACCACUGAGCCAUCUCUCCAGCCCCAAAAAUAUGUUUUUAAAAUGGAGUUUCUAGAGCUGGAGAGAUGGCUAGGGGC